GAUGAACGCUGGCGGCGUGCUUAACACAUGCGAGUCGAACGAAGCACUUUAACUUGAUUCUUCGGAUGAAGGUUUUUGUGACUGAGUGGCGGACGGGUGAGUAACGCGUGGGUAACCUGCCUCAUACAGGGGGAUAACAGUUAGAAAUGACUGCUAAUACCGCAUAAGACCACGGAGCCGCAUGGCUCAGUGGGAAAAACUCCGGUGGUAUGAGAUGGACCCGCGUCUGAUUAGGUAGUUGGUGGGGUAACGGCCUACCAAGCCAACGAUCAGUAGCCGACCUGAGAGGGUGACCGGCCACAUUGGGACUGAGACACGGCCCAAACUCCUACGGGAGGCAGCAGUGGGGAAUAUUGCACAAUGGGGGAAACCCUGAUGCAGCGACGCCGCGUGAGCGAAGAAGUAUUUCGGUAUGUAAAGCUCUAUCAGCAGGGAAGAAAAUGACGGUACCUGACUAAGAAGCACCGGCUAAAUACGUGCCAGCCGCCGCAGUAA
rnacentral:rRNA from 1 species